GACGAACGCUGGCGGCGUGCUUAACACAUGCAAGUCGAACGGGAUCCAAAGGCUUUUUGUUUUUGGUGAGAGUGGCGAACGGGUGAGUAACACGUGAGUAACCUGCCCCCUUCUUUUGGAUAACCGCAUGAAAGUGUGGCUAAUACAGGAUAUUCCAGGCUGGUCGCAUGAUUGGUUUGGGAAAUGGUUUGGUCUGGUGGGGGAUGGGCUCGCGGCCUAUCAGCUUGUUGGUGGGGUGAUGGCCUACCAAGGCGGUGACGGGUAGCCGGCCUGAGAGGGUGGGCGGUCACACUGGGACUGAGAUACGGCCCAGACUCCUACGGGAGGCAGCAGUGGGGGAUUAUGCACAAUGGGCGCAAGCCUGAUGCAGCGACGCCGCGUGAGGGAUGAAGGCCUUCGGGUUGUAAACCUCUUUCGCUGGGUUGAAAGGCCAUGCUUUGGGUGUGGUGGAUUUGAACUGGUAAAGAAGUACCGGCUAACUACGU
rnacentral:rRNA from 1 species